GUCUGAUUGUCUAAACUGCAAUCUAAUUGUCUGUUCACAGAGACCCUACGUUGUAAAUAUUGGCAAAGGGAGAAAAAUAACUGUUAAAUUGGAAGUUAUCCUUUAGCAGAAAUCAGUUCCUUUGGCAUGCAUUUUAUUUAUUUGGCCUGCUUAAUAUGUCUGUAAAUAACUGAAUAUAAAACAAAUUCAGUGCAGCAGAGCUGGUGCUUCUGACACAGCUAACUUGACCAUAUUCCUUUAUCUUCACUUUAGCAUGAGUGUUUUUAACUAUAAAGUAAGUGCAAUAAAAAAAAAAAAUUAAGGGUAUGUUUUUUUAAAAAAUCACUGAACUUUUAGAAAUCCCUCAUUUAUAUCUCCAUUCCUGCCUUAUUAUCAACCAGCGACUACAAAGAAAGAAAAUGAACAAGUAGACUGAGUCUUACCUUUUUCUAACCUAAGAUAAAUUUUCACUUGACAUUUGGAGGAGUCAUAACUGGAUUCUAGUUAAUUUCCCAUAUUGGGCUGGUUAGAAGGAACCAGCCAACAAAAUUAUGAUCUAGCAAAUUUAACAAGGAGGUGAGGGAGAGGAAGCUAUUUUACAGUCGAUUUGCACUUUAAAAUGAACUGGAUGUUGGUGAAAAGUACUCUCAAAGGGCAGAUGGGUAAAUACCCAGCCUGCAUGUGGAUAUUAGAGAAUUAAAGUUCAUCCUUGCUUGUUCUGAGCCCACCGGAGCAGUAGUUCUGUGUCAUCAUAAUCAGAGUCAGGAUUUCCUUAUUUCCCUAGUUGGUGUCAUCUUCCAUGUCUGCUACAUGAAGUCAUCCCUCUGGGGGAUUUAUUAAGUAGAAUUCUGCUACUCAGAAUGGAAACUUUGUGAGUUAUCUUUCCUACAUCUAGAUUUAAAAAGUUAAUUUAGAUGUUGGCUAGAUUAAGUUGUGGCUAAUGUUA
rnacentral:lncRNA from 1 species